GGGACACGUGAAACCCUGUGGGAAGCAGGAGGGACCACCCUCCAAGGCUAAAUACUACCUAGUGACCGAUAGCGUAUAGUACCGUGAGGGAAAGGUGAAAAGAACCCCGGGAGGGGAGUGAAAUAGAACCUGAAACCCUGCACUUACAAGCUGUGGAAGCACAUUUCUUGUGUGACCGCGUACUUUUUGUAGAACGGGCCAACGAGUUACGUUAAGUAGCAAGGUUAAGCACUUAAGGUGCGGAGCCGUAGCGAAAGCGAGUUUUAACUGAGCGUUCAGUUACUUGACGUAGACCCGAAACCGGGCGACCUACCCAUGAGCAGGAUGAAGCGAAAGUAAAAUUUCGUGGAGGUCCGAACCCACGAGCGUUGAAAAGCUCGGGGAUGACUUGUGGGUAGCGGUGAAAUUCCAAUCGAGCCCGGAGAUAGCUGGUUCUCCCCGAAAUAGCUUUAGGGCUAGCCUCAAGGUGAGAGAUACGGAGGUAGAGCACUGAAUGUCCUAGGGGGUAUUGCACCUACCGAAGACUAUCAAACUCCGAAUGCCGUCAUCUUAUACUUGGGAGUCAGACUGUGGGUGAUAAGAUUCAUAGUCGAAAGGGCAACAGCCCAGAUCGUCAGCUAAGGUCCCUAAAUGUAAGUUAAGUGGUAAAGGAUGUGGGAUUGCACAGACAACCAGGAUGUUGGCUUAGAAGCAGCCACUCAUUCAAAGAGUGCGUAAUAGCUCACUGGUCGAGUGAUCCUGCGCCGAAGAUUUCCGGGGCUAAAACUUACUACCGAAGCUACGGCAUCAGUAAUGAUGGGUAGGGGAGCUUCCCAUACGGGUUGAAGCAUGACCGUAAGGACAUGUGGACAGUAUGGGAGUGAGAAUGUUGGCAUGAGUAGCGAGAUGUGGGUGAGAAUCCCACAGGCCGUAAACCCAAGGUUUCCAGGGGAAGGUUCGUCCGCCCUGGGUUAGUCGGGACCUAAGCUGAGGCCGAAAGGCGUAGGUGAUGGACAACAGGUUGAUAUUCCUGUACUACCGAUAACCAUUUGAGAGAAGGGAUGACACAGUAGGAUAAGCUAAGCACACUGUUGGUUAUGUGUGCCCAAGCAUUGAGGCAGUCAAAGUAGGCAAAUCCGCUUUGAUAAUGCUGGGAUGUGAUGGGGAGCGAAAUUUAGUAGCGAAGUAGCUGAUUUCACACUGUCAAGAAAAGUCUCUAUCGAGGUUAAAGGUACCCGUACCGCAAACCGACACAGGUGGGUGAGGAGAGUAUCCUAAGGCCAGCGAGAGAACUGUUGUUAAGGAACUCGGCAAAAUGACCCCGUAACUUAGGGAUAAGGGGUGCCACCAUCAGGUGGCCGCAGAGAAUAGGCCCAAGCGACUGUUUACCAAAAACAUAGGUUUCUGCUAAGUCGCAAGACGAUGUAUAGGAGCUGACGCCUGCCCGGUGCUGGAAGGUUAAGGGGAUCUGUUAGAGCAAUCGAAGCAGUGAACUUAAGCCCCAGUAAACGGCGGCCGUAACUAUAACGGUCCUAAGGUAGCGAAAUUCCUUGUCGGGUAAGUUCCGACCCGCACGAAAGGCGUAACGAUUUGGGCACUGUCUCAACAACAGACUCGGUGAAAUUGUAAUUCCGGUGAAGAUGCCGGAUACCUGCGACAGGACGGAAAGACCCCAUGGAGCUUUACUGUAGCUUGACAUUGGGUCUUGGUACUACAUGUACAGGAUAGGUGGGAGGCUUUGAAACCAGGACGCCAGUUUUGGCGGAGCCAUCCUUGGGAUACCACCCUUGUAGUACUGGGACUCUAACCAUAGGCCAUGAAUCUGGUCUUGGGACACUGUCAGGUGGGCAGUUUGACUGGGGCGGUCGCCUCCCAAAAGGUAACGGAGGCGCUCAAAGGUUCUCUCAGUACGGUCGGAAAUCGUACGUAGAGUGUAAAGGCAAAAGAGAGCUUGAUUGCAAGACAUACAGGUCGAGCAAGGAUGAAAAUCGGACUUAGUGAUCCGGUGGUUCUGCGUGGAAGGGCCAUCGCUCAACGGAUAAAAGCUACCCUGGGGAUAACAGGCUUAUCUCCCCCAAGAGUCCACAUCGACGGGGAGGUUUGGCACCUCGAUGUCGGCUCAUCACAUCCUGGGGCUGUAGUAGGUCCCAAGGGUUGGGCUGUUCGCCCAUUAAAGUGGUACGCGAGCUGGGUUCAGAACGUCGUGAGACAGUUCGGUCCCUAUCCGUCGCAGGCGUAGGAAAUUUGAGAAGACCUGUCCUUAGUACGAGAGGACCGGGAUGGACG
rnacentral:rRNA from 1 species